UACGGAGGGUGCAAGCGUUAUCCGGAUUCACUGGGUUUAAAGGGUGCGUAGGAGGGCAGGUAAGUCAGUGGUGAAAUCUCCGAGCUUAACUUGGAACUGCCGUUGAUACUAAUCUGUCUUGAAUAUUGUGGAGGUGAGCGGAAUAUGUCAUGUAGCGGUGAAAUGCUUAGAUAUGACAUAGAACACCAAAUUGCGAAGGCAGCUCGCUACACAUAUAUUGACUCUGAGGCACGAAAGCGUGGGGAUCAAACAGG
rnacentral:rRNA from 1 species